GUCCCGUGCGGGCACUCAUUCUCGUAGUACGAUGGCGCAUCGGCAACGUGGGGUAAGUCCCCGCGCGAUAGCUGGUGCGCCGAACACAGGUCCCGAAAGGGGCCUUUUUUAUUGCCUUUUU
rfam:Devosia soli strain GH2-10 NODE_14, whole genome shotgun sequence.